UGCUGUCCAAAGAAAAGGAAAAAUGUGCUCUGAUGACAACUCUGCACAGGGAUGCUGCUGUGAUCACCAGGGAGGACAAGAAACCCAAGAAAGCCAUCCUGGAUUACAACAGGAACAAAGGCAGAGUUGACAACCUUGAUAAGGUUACUGGCACAUACUCUUGUCAGAGGAAGACACGUUGGCCCAUGGUGGUGAUAUUCAACAUGUUAGACGUGUCAACAUACAACACAUUCGUGCUGUGGAUGGAGCUCAAUCCAAGAUGGAAGCAGGGGAAAAACAUCUGAUAGAGUGAUGAAUAUUGUAAUGUUGUUGUUCUUGUUAGUUGUUCUUUAUUGUAUUAAGACAUUGAUCUUGUGAUAUUGUGAAAUUGUUUUGGGAUAAUUUCCAUUGUACACAAAUAAAAUAUUCCGGUCACUUUUGACCGGGAACACGA